UAGUUAUAUGCUUGUCUAAAAGAUUAAGCCAUGCAAGUCUAAGUAUAAGCAUUAUACGGUGAAACUGCAGAUAGCUCAUUAUAACAGUUAUAAUUUACUCGGUGAUAGAAGCUACAUGGAUAUCUGUAGUAAUUCUAGAGCUAAUACAUGCCAUUCUCCCUUCGGGGAGGGGCUUAUUAGAUUCCCUUGUCAACCUGAGCAAUCAGUGUUAACGGCAAGUCAUAAUAAUCUCUAUAUCGCAUGCUUCACGGCGGCGAAUCACCGAUCAAAUUUCUGCCCUAUCAGCUUGUAGGAUGUGUAGUGGACACCCUAGGCAAAUACGGGUAACGGGGGAUUGGGGUCCGAUUCCGGAGAGGGAGCCUGAGAAACGGCUACCACUUCUAAGGAAGGCAGCAGGCGCGUAAAUUACCCAAUCUCGACUCGAGGAGGUAGUGACAAGAAAUAACAAUACUGAGGUCAAUUUGGCUUUAGUAAUUGGAAUGAGUACAAUUCAAAAUCAUUAACAACGAACAAUUG
rnacentral:rRNA from 1 species